rfam:Gossypium hirsutum cultivar TM-1 chromosome 5, whole genome shotgun sequence
AUUCCAUGAUGAGGGCACUUUCGUAAUAACACUUUGUACAUUUCCCAUGCCCCAUAUAGGGACUCAUAAUCCAUUUGUUGGAAUGCAGUGAUCUCAUUCCUCAACUU